rnacentral:rRNA from 1 species
GAUGAACGCUAGCGGCAGGCUUAAUACAUGCAAGUCGAGGGGCAGCACGGGUAGCAAUAUCUGGUGGCGACCGGCGCACGGGUGCGUAACGCGUAUGCAACCUACCUUUAACUGGGGCAUAGCCCCGAGAAAUCGGGAUUAAUUCCCCAUAUCAUUCCGGUGAGGCAUCUCACUGGGAUGAAAGCUCCGACGGUUAAAGAUGGGCAUGCGUGACAUUAGCUUGUUGGUGAGGUAACGGCUCACCAAGGCUACGAUGUCUAGGGGUUCUGAGAGGAUGAUCCCCCA